UGGUUCUGGCAUCGAUGAAGAACGCAGCGAAAUGCGAUAAGUAAUGCGAAUUGCAGAAUCCGUGAGUCAUCGAAUCUUUGAACGCAUAUUGCGCCCUCUGGUAUUCCGGAGGGCAUGCCUGUUCGAGCGUCAUUAUCACCCCUCAAGCCCGGCUUGUUGUUGGAUGCAGCGAGGUCCCCUCGCUCUUCCCAAAGAUAAUGACGGCGUCUGUGAGGACUCCAGUACACUGAGCUUUCGGGCACGUACUCGGCUAGAAGUCCAGACCCGGUCGACGUCCCUCCCCUCGCGGGGAGCGACACCCCCCUUUUAUCAAGGUUGACCUCGGAUCAGGUAGGAAUACCCGCUGA
rnacentral:misc_RNA from 1 species